AUGGCCACUUUUCAGGCCUUUCUGAAGUCCAAUACAUCUUUUGACAAAACCUUUGCUCUUGUUUCCCAGGUCAGAAACUUAAUGGUGGCACUCAAACUGGCCAAGUCUCAUCAGGCAGCACAUCAGCAGCUUCAAAUGGAGCAAAUGGAAGUAACGGUAGAGACGGGUACUCUCAGCCAUCUGGCUCAAGUUCUCAUGGUACUGUACCUGUUCAUCUGCUGUAAAUAUGCUUUUCUUUUUACUCUUACAAGUUUACUGCCUAAUCAUUGAAAUUAUUUCACUUACAGAUGCAAGUUAUGGUGGACAAGAUGGGUCCAAAUCAGAGAUAGUUCCCCCAGGUACCUGAUCACAGAAUCUGGAAUAGAAUAGAAUAGAAUAGAAUAGAAUCUGGAAUAGAAUAGAAUAGAAUAGAAUAGAAUAGAAUAGAAUAGAAUAGAAUAGAAUAGAAUAGAAUAGAAAUAUGGCAUGGCAUAAAUACUAUAUACACUAAAAAUACUAAAAAGGUUUAUUAUGUAGUACAUUCCAUACUAAAAUUAAAUUUAAAAAAAUGUUAUAAUAUAAUAUAAUAUAAUAUAAUAUAAUAUAAUAUAAUAUAAUAUAAUAUAAUAUAAUAUAAUAUAAUAUAAUAUAAUAUAAUAUAAUAUAAUAAUUGACAUACACAGCCAAUCAAAUGUUUGAGGUCAGUAAGAAUUU
rnacentral:lncRNA from 1 species